GAUGAACGCUGGCGGCGUGCCUAAUACAUGCAAGUCGAGCGAACAGACGAGGAGCUUGCUCCUCUGACGUUAGCGGCGGACGGGUGAGUAACACGUGGAUAACCUACCUAUAAGACUGGGAUAACUUCGGGAAACCGGAGCUAAUACCGUAUAAUAUAUUGAACCGCAUGGUUCAAUAGUGAAAGACGGUUUUGCUGUCACUUAUAGAUGGAUCCGCGCGGUAUUAGCUAGUUGGUAAGGUAACAGCUUACCAAGGCAACGAUGCGUAGACGACCGGAGAGGGUGAUCGGCCACCCGGGAACUGAGACACGCACCAGACGCCUACGGGAGGCAGCAGUAGGGAAUCUUCCGCAAUGGGCGAAAGCAUGACGGAGCAACGCCGCGUGAGUGAUAAAGGUCUCCGGAGCGUAAAGAUCUCUUAUUAGGGAAGAACAAAUGUGUAAGUAAAUAUGCACGUCUUGACGGUACCUAAUAAAAAAGCACCGGCUAACUACGUG
rnacentral:rRNA from 1 species